GACGAACGCUGGCGGCGUGCUUAACACAUGCAAGUCGAACGGAAAGGCCUUUUCGGAGGUACUCGAGUGGCGAACGGGUGCGUAACACGUGGGUGAUCUGCCCUGCACUCUGGGAUAAGCCUGGGAAACUGGGUCUAAUACCGGAUAGGACCGCACUUUAGUGUGUGUGGUGGAAAGUUUUUUCGGUGUAGGAUGAGCCCGCGGCCUAUCAGCUUGUUGGUGGGGUAAUGGCCUACCAAGGCGGCGACGGGUAGCCGGACUGAGAGGUUGGUCGGCCACAUUGGGACUGAGAUACGGCCCAGACUCCUACGGGAGGCAGCAGUGGGGAAUAUUGCACAAUGGGCGCAAGCCGGAUGCAGCGACGCCGCGUGGGGGAUGACGGCCUUCGGGUUGUAAACUCCUUUCGCCAGGGACGAAGCGUUUUGUGACGGUACCUGGAGAAGAAGCACCGGCUAACUACGUG
rnacentral:rRNA from 1 species